CUCCUCAUAGUUCAACGGAUAGAACAUCGGUCUUCUAAACCGAGAAUUCAGGUUCGAAUCCUGAUGGGGAGA
rnacentral:tRNA from 2 species